rnacentral:sRNA from 1 species
GGACGCGGAGGAGAAGGAAAGUCGCUCAAGCAGUGGACAGAACGGAGAAAGCGACUUCGGGUCUGCUGGAGUUUGCUGGAGGUGCGCUCCAGACUCUGUUUGCCUGUGUAUCACCAACAGAGGCUGCAGAACAGCAAAGAUUGCUGUCUGUACCUUCCUCUGGAAGCUUCAUCCCAGAGGGGCACCUGCGAGACGCCAGCCGGAGCUCUCCUCUAUGAGUGAAUGAAGGAGGGAAGAAAGGAGAGGCAGAGAGAAUAUGGAUUUCCUCAUGGUUGUGAUUCCUCUUCACUCUUUUGAAUUUGGAAGGACGGCAUACACAUCUGAAAAACAGUAAGUAAUGUGUGAUUUAUUUUUCAAUUACUGUUACUAAUUAAUUGUAAUAAAGCUGAAAUUUGAUUACUGGAGGAGUUUGAAAUCAUCAUGCAUGCCUUGUAGGAAAAUGGGUUUUGUGCAACAUUUGCAUUAUUUGGUGUGAAUUACCUUUGGUUUGAUUUAACUGUUUAUCACACAAUUACUGUUGUGAUAAUGAAUGUGUUAUUCACUAUUGCUAAAUUUACCCAGUAUAUUCUG